CUAACUUAAAAAUUCUUUUUAAUGGAAAUUUUUGCCUCCUAACUUAUAAAUAAUACAUAAAAUAAAGAAACCAACAUGAUUUCAUUAAUUAUACAGGAGCGCUCGAGUUUUGACAUGGGCAGCAGUGGGAGAAUGCUAUGAACUUGCCUGGUGUAGCUUCAUUUUGUGUUGUGAUGCGACCCACCAGAUGAAAGAGGGCAUGAUUAAGGUGCUUGCAAUAUAUUGAAGAGUUGCUCCUGCAGCAGAAGUAAUUAUUGUCUCA
rnacentral:lncRNA from 1 species